AUGAAAACAAGGCUGAAGAGAGUGGCGUGUUUAGAGCAGGAGGUUUUUGUACAGCCAGUAAACCAGUUUGUAUCACUGUGGUGGACUUUUGGUGGAGGAACCAAACUGUCAGUUGGAAGUGUGGCCCCGCCCACCCUCACGAUCCUGCCCCCCUCCAGCGUGGAGCUGCAGCAGGGGAAGGCCACACUCGUGUGUUUGGCCAACAAGGGCUUCCCCUCAGACUGGCGGCUGAGCUGGAAGGUGGACGGGAGCAGCUGGACCUCGGGGGUUAGCCAGAGCCCCGGGCUUCUGCAGAAGAACGACGGCCUCUACAGCUGGAGCAGCACCCUGACCCUCCAGGAGGACCAGUGGCUAAAGAAGACAGUGACCUGUGAGGCCACCAAGGACUCCCAGCCUGCUGUCAGCCAAACCCUGAGGAGAGAGCAAUGCACUGGGCAGUGAGCGUCCACGCGUGUGUUGGAGCUGCUAGAGCUCCUCUUGAUCUUCAGUGAGCUCAAACAUGGCUCUGCUUAAUGCUCUGAUCUUCAUCUCAUCACUUCACCAUCACAAUAAAGAGCUUCAGUAUUAAGAUCUACAGUCUUACAUUGUUUAUUGUGUUGUUCUCUUUCUUUAUUUCUUUUAUUGUUUCCAUCAUCAAUAAACAUGUAAACAUUU